rnacentral:rRNA from 1 species
GCUGAACGCUGGCGGCGUGCCUAAUACAUGCAAGUCGAGCGAAGCGGGGACGGGUGAGUAACACGUGGAUAACCUCCUAUAAGACUGGGAUAACUUCGUGAAACCGGAGCUAAACCGGCUUCUUAUCGCAGGUUCUGCUCUGCAUUAGCUAGUUGGUAAGGUAACGGCUUCCCAAGUCAACGAUUCAUAGCCGACCUGAGAGGAGGAUCGGCCACACUGGAACUGAGACACGGUCCAGACGCCUACGGGAGGCAGCAGUAGGGAAUCUUCCGCAAUGGGCGAAAGCCUGACGGAGCAACGCCGCGUGAGUGAAGAAGGUCUUCGGAUCGUAAAACUCUGUUAUUGGGGAAGCGGUACCUAAUCAGAAAGCCACGGCUAACUACGUGCCAGCCGCCGCGGUAAUUC